rnacentral:misc_RNA from 1 species
GAGGAGGAGGAAGGAGGGAGAUGAAGAUAGUGGUGGUGUAUUUCUUAGAAAGAAAUGCAGGUGAUGAGGCAGAUGAAGAUGGUGGUGGUGUGUUCCUGUGGAGGAUUGGAGGGAUAAGAGGAAUCGUUAUUGCAACAAAGAAAUAUGUGUGAACUUUGUGGAAAUUCAAGCCAAAUUAAAACCCAUGGUUCAAAAAUUUUAAAAUUUUAACCUAUGAAGAGAAAGAUCUUUCCUUUCUUUUCCCUUGGUUCAAAGGGGAAUAAGGAGUUGAAGAAGACAAAACUUUACUUGGAAAGUUAGCAAAUUGAGCUAGAAAUGGGGUGAGAUGAAAGGUUUUCAAAGGUUGCAAGAGAGAUGUUAGACGCUGGCUAUCAGUAAUGAGUCAAGGACUUGUUCAAAUGGGUGAAUGGGGCGAUUGGAAUGGAGAUGUAGAUAAAAAAGUAAUAUAAAUAAUAAAUAUAAAAGAAAAAGUGGAAGAAGUGGGACCCAUUAUUAUAAUUAAAAAUAUUUUUAAGUGAAUAUUUAAUACCAAAUCAGUAAUAUUUGAUGAAGUUGGAGGAAAAAAGACUCACUUUGCUAAUGACACCAAACAACAUUGUACCUACUUAUCACAAACCAAACCAUGUGACCCUAAUUGUAAAUCGCUCAAACCACAAGAUACUUUUUUUGUAAUUUUCUCAAAAUUGUAAAUAAUCAGUAUCAAUCUAGAAACUGAUUUUCAAAUUAAUAUUUAAAAAUAUUACUCAAGUAUGUGUGUUCGCCAGUAGAAUUUGUUAAUUGUUGUUAUAUUAUGUUGCGGCCAUUAUUUGAUUCCAUGCAAAUUACCCUAUUAAGAGCAUAAUGGUGCUUGGAACUGUAAUCUUUGGUUUAUGAUAGUGGAUUUCUCAUUUUCUUAUU